AGUGAACGCUGGCGGUAGGCCUAACACAUGCAAGUCGAACGGCAGCACAGUAAGAGCUUGCUCUUACGGGUGGCGAGUGGCGGACGGGUGAGGAAUACAUCGGAAUCUACUUUUUCGUGGGGGAUAACGUAGGGAAACUUACGCUAAUACCGCAUACGACCUACGGGUGAAAGCAGGGGAUCUUCGGACCUUGCGCGAUUGAAUGAGCCGAUGUCGGAUUAGCUAGUUGGCGGGGUAAAGGCCCACCAAGGCGACGAUCCGUAGCUGGUCUGAGAGAAUGAUCAGCCACACUGGAACUGACACACGGUCCAGAGUCCUACGGGAGGCAGCAGUGGGGAAUAUUGGACAAUGGGCGCAAGCCUGAUCCAGCCAUACCGCGUGCGUGAAGAAGGCCUUCGGGUUGUAAAGCCCCUUUGUUGGGAAAGAAAAGCAGCAGGUUAAUACCCCGCUGUUCUGACGGUACCCAAAGAAUAAGCACCGGCUAACUUCGUG
rnacentral:rRNA from 1 species